CUCUGUCUCUCUGUCUCUCUCUCGACUCAUCUCUAUCGUGCUCGCUCUCUCUCACUCUUAGUCACAUCUUUAAGUCUCUUAGAGUCGCCAGACUCAUUCUCUCUCCAAACCUAACCAAACAUCAUCCAAUUUCAUUGGUUUUUGGAGCGAAUCCUUGUAAAUUCUGGAGGGCUCUGGUUCAUUCUAAGUUGUUGUGCUUAGUCUUUGUGGGUUUGGAUUAAUAGGCAAAAUUGAAGAUUGUUGCUUUGCAGCUUUCUGUGGUCCGUGUGUUUCUUACCUGCUACGAAAACGAGCUCUUUAUAAUAAUAUGUCAAGGUACAGACGCUGUGCCGGAUAUAUGCCAUGCAGUGGAAGGUGUGGAGAACGUCACUGCCCCGAAUUGUGUCUUUGCACUGAGGUACCGUAUUAAUUUCAUUGAUUUCGAUGUGAUAAAAUUUAUGAAUAAAUUAGCAAUGUGGUAUUCAUCAAUUUGAAAGAUGAAAUUCAGGCUUAGCUUUGCCCUUUUGCACUCUAUUACUACAUUUUCUUAGACAUAGACAUACAUGGAAUUUAGUUUUGUUUAUGUUUGGAUGCUUUCUUUAUUGUUUUCAGGUUUAAUUUCUGAUUUUUUUAACUGUGUAUUUUAGGUUUGAUUGUUAGCCUUGAAUUUGUUUCAAUUUAUUUAAUUGAGUUGUCUUGAAUCUGUAUUUUUGGCAUGGGAACAUGUUUUUGUUUUUGUUUUUGUGUGCAUGAAUCUGCUUAACUCAUUGUUGAUUAAAUGCAUUCAUUCAUUUAUUUGUUUUCUCCAUUUUUUUUUCCUUAUGUAGCAUAUCUGUGUUAGUAUCUUAUUGAUGAACGAAUGCUAAUAUUUGGGUUAAUUAGUUUUUUUAUUGAAUAAUUAUUUAUUGAUUGAUUGACUGGUCCAUAUUUGUUUUUCAAUGGUUUGUAAGAUUUGCAUUCAAAACCCUAAGGUGGUCUUCUAAUCAUUUAAGGAUAACUAGUUCAAUGUCAAUUAGGAUUACAUGGAUCGAUUAAAUUUAAGACUUGAUAUAUAUGACUGAUUUAAGAUAAAUACAAGUGCUUAAGGUUUCCUAAUUCUAAAUGGAUUGAGAUACCUACUCCUAUUGGUUAAAGGAGUUUAAGUAAUCCAUGAUGAGGAGGAUACUUAAACUACACCUAUAAAAGGGAGGUCCCUAUGCUAACGGCAGAAUAACGUUCUCAUAUUAUUCUACCCCAUCAAGAAGAGACUCAAGAGCCGUAUAGCAUAGAGAUACUGCCCUAAUACAAAUCUGCCCGAACCAGUCAAGAACACAGCUCCUGCAGAAUUCCAGUUUCUUCCCAAGCAAGUAAUCAAAGUUCCUGCUGCAGUAAUUCUCACAAUGUCGAAUCAAGAUGUAUGAUAUUGGGAGGAGGGUGGUAUGGACAACCAAAGGAGAAGAACAGGAAGCAGCAAAGAAAGAGUUCCUUGAGUGCAUUGGAUUGUUGGAAGGGGAGCUUGGAGACAAGCCUUACUUUGGGGGUGAGACCCUCGGGUUCGUCGAUGUGGCGCUUAUUCCGUUCUAUAGCUGGUUUUAUGUGUAUGAGAAAUGUGGCAACUUCAGUAUAGAGGCAGAGCAGCCAAAGUUUUAUGCAUGGGCAAAGAGGUGCAUGCAGAAGGAGAGUGUGUCCAAGUCUCUUGCUGACCAGAAAGCGAUCUAUGACUUGUUUCUGCAGCGCAUGAAAGCGAGGGGGAUUGAUCAGUAGAUGCAUGGGCACUUGAGCUUGUGCUUUUUCUGUGUUUCAAGUUUCAACCUGUGUUUUGUGUUCUUUAUAUUUGCAAUAAGGCGGCACUUGACCAAGCCCGCUACAGUAAAUGGGGGAGCUUUGCUGUAUAUGGUUUUGUAGUCAAAUUAUCAAAUUGUUGUGAACUUUUUAUAUCAAAGGAUUUUGAGCCAUUCAAAUAUCAA